GAUGAACGCUGGCGGCGUGCCUAAUACAUGCAAGUCGAGCGAACAGACGAGGAGCUUGCUCCUCUGACGUUAGCGGCGGACGGGUGAGUAACACGUGUAUAACCUACCUAUAAGACUGGGAUAACUUCGGGAAACCGGAGCUAAUACCGGAUAAUAUAUUGAACCGCAUGGUUCAAUAGUGAAAGACGGUUUUGCUGUCACUUAUAGAUGGAUCCGCGCCGCAUUAGCUAGUUGGUAAGGUAACGGCUUACCAAGGCAACGAUGCGUAGCCGACCUGAGAGGGUGAUCGGCCACACUGGAACUGAGACACGGUCCAGACUCCUACGGGAGGCAGCAGUAGGGAAUCUUCCGCAAUGGGCGAAAGCUUGACGGAGCAACGCCGCGUGAGUGAUGAAGGUCUUCGGAUCGUAAAACUCUGUUAUUAGGGAAGAACAAAUGUGUAAGUAACUAUGCACGUCUUGACGGUACCUAAUCAGAAAGCCACGGCUAACUACGUG
rnacentral:rRNA from 1 species